AACUUCUGGUUUGGCGCGCGCGGCCCGUUGCGGCAACGCAGUGUGUGCCGUUGUGCGCCUGCCAUCCUUCUGGCGUUUGGGUGUGCCCUUCACUGGGACUGCAUCUGGGUGUCAAGAUCUUUUACUUUGAAAAAAUUAGAGUGUUUAAAGCAGGCUUGCGCAAUGAAUACAUUAGCAUGGAAUAAUAAUUUAGGACUUCUGUUCUAUUUUGUUGGUUUCUAGGAUGGAAGUAAUGAUUGAUAGGGAUAGUUGGGGGUGCUAGUAUUCAGCGGCCAGAGGUGAAAUUCUUGGAUUCGCUGAAGACUAACUUAUGCGAAAGCAUU
rnacentral:rRNA from 1 species